CUACGGGAGGCUGCAGUGGGGAAUAUUGCACAAUGGGCGCAAGCCUGAUGCAGCCAUGCCGCGUGUGUGAAGAAGGCCUUCGGGUUGUAAAGCACUUUCAGCGGGGAGGAAGGCGGUGAGGUUAAUAACCUCAUCGAUUGACGUUACCCGCAGGAGAAGCACCGGCUAACUCCGUGCCAGCAGCCGCGGUAAUACGGAGGGUGCAAGCGUUAAUCGGAAUUACUUGGCGUAAAGCGCACGCAGGCGGUCUGUCAAGUCGGAUGUGAAAUCCCCGGGCUCAACCUGGGAACUGCACUCGAAACUGGCAGGCUAGAGUCUUGUAGAGGGGGGUAGAAUUCCAGGUGUAGCGGUGAAAUGCGUAGAGAUCUGGAGGAAUACCGGUGGCGAAGGCGGCCCCCUGGACAAAGACUGACGCUCAGGUGCGAAAGCGUGGGGAGCAAACAGGAUUAGAUACCCCAGUAGUC
rnacentral:rRNA from 1 species